CAACAUACUUUCUAUAUGAGUUUUCAGUAGAUUUAUCAGAGAUCACUGGUGAAGGACUUUGGUCUGCUGAACUCUAACACAUCUGAAGCGAUAUAUAGAAAAACUGGUAUGUUGCGUACAUAAGGGUAGCUUUUCACGAAGUGAGUUAAAGUAAUAUAUAUUUGGGCGACUGGUUGUUCUCGACUCCCGAAGUCAAACGGCACCAAAAUGAAAGAGAAAGAUCGAAUUAAACAAGCUGGUUGUCACAAUUUGUAGAAGCUAUUGACGUGACUCUGAAAUGGCUAGAACACAAAGGUCAAAUAUGAAAGUUGGCGCAAAAAAACAGGAGCAAAUAUUGAGAGGACUGUAUAAUUUAACGGGUUGGAAAAUUUACACUUGUUACUGCAUUGUAUGGAAUUUCAACAAAACAACACAACAUCAACUUUACGUUUUACAUCUUCCUACUGUGUGUAUAUUUAAUUGUCUAUACGUAUAUUUAGUAUGUACGCAAAGUAUGUUUCAUUUUGUCUGAAGAAAGUUAUAGUUCUUCGAAUCUGCUUCUCCCUCUACUUUUAAAAUUGUUUGCUAAAAGGCAUUUAUUAAAAGCAUGGAUGCCAAGUUUGUAUGUUGCCAAUUAAACCUUUAAAUAUGGAAUGUUAGGGGAGGAAUUCAUGAACCUGAAUUACUAAACUACUUAAGUUAAAUGAUACAAAAUAAAUGAGAGGAUUUAAAAGACAA